GCAAGUCGAGCGGUAACAGGGGAAGCUUGCUUUCUGCUGACGAGCGGCGGACGGGUGCGUAACACGUAGGAAUCUGCCCGGUAGCGGGGGAUAGCCCGGAGAAAUUCGGAUUAAUACCGCAUACGCCCUAAGGGGGAAAGCAGGGGAUCUUCGGACCUUGCACUAUCGGAUGAGCCUGCGUCGGAUUAGCUUGUUGGUAGGGUAAAAGCCUACCAAGGCGACGAUCAGUAUCUGGUUUGAGAGGACGAUC
rnacentral:rRNA from 1 species